rnacentral:lncRNA from 1 species
CCACCACUCUCCGACAGGUCGCAACAAUAGACACCACUUCACUCUUCAUAACAAACUCCACAUGGCCCCACCGCUUUUCCAUAAGUCAUGACAACGGACACCACUCCUCUCCGUAACAAACUCCACGUGGCCCUGAACGGCCAACUACCAGGCAGUUACGGAUGUCGCUGUCAAUCGAUUACGCUCUCUCAUCUAUAAAAGAGACCCCCU